rnacentral:rRNA from 1 species
GACGAACGCUGGCGGCGUGCUUAACACAUGCAAGUCGAACGGAAAGGCCCUGCUUUUGUGGGGUGCUCGAGUGGCGAACGGGUGAGUAACACGUGAGUAACCUGCCCUUGACUUUGGGAUAACUUCAGGAAACUGGGGCUAAUACCGGAUAGGAGCUCCUGCUGCAUGGUGGGGGUUGGAAAGUUUCGGCGGUUGGGGAUGGACUCGCGGCUUAUCAGCUUGUUGGUGGGGUAGUGGCUUACCAAGGCUUUGACGGGUAGCCGGCCUGAGAGGGUGACCGGCCACAUUGGGACUGAGAUACGGCCCAGACUCAUACGGGAGGCAGCAGUGGGGAAUAUUGCACAAUGGGCGGAAGCCUGAUGCAGCAACGCCGCGUGCGGGAUGACGGCCUUCGGGUUGUAAACCGCUUUCGCCUGUGACGAAGCGUGAGUGACGGUAAUGGGUAAAGAGGCACCGGCUAACUACGU